rnacentral:lncRNA from 1 species
CUGAAGUCUAAAGAUACCAAUUGGAAUACAUUAUCCACAGUUACCAGCUGUGGAAUUUUGAGCAUAAGUAAGUUACUAAUCUCUUAGUCUUACUUGCUCAUCUGUUGCCAAGAGCUGGAAGAAGAUGGCCUCUGCAGGGUCACCUUCCAAGUCCCUCAGGAAGGCAACUAACGGGAGGAACUUAAUGUGCAUCCAGAGACCAAGAUGGCGGGAGUGUGGGAAACGUGGCUUUUAGCAUGCCAGCACCUUCCAAAGGGAAGAUAGGUGGAAUGGAGGUGAAGGGACCGAUGCAAAGUGCUAAACACAAGUUUAAAAUUUGGACUAUGGCUGUUUACAAGGAAGAAUCAAUGUCUUCACACAGGGAGAUCUUUAAAGGCUUUAUUAAAAUGGAACUCAGAAUGGGAAUUUUUUCCAGUAUUCUCUGGGGUAGCUGCUUUCAGAAAGAGGCGGAAAGGCAUGACACUACUUUAAGGUGUUCUAACAGAUUCUGUGAAUUUCAAGGCUAAUUAAUCUCAAGAAGUUUAUCAUUGAUGACAGCUGCUACGGCUUGAUCCUGCUCUUGCAAGGUUUGCACAUUACUAGAUUCCAGUUGGCAGAGUUUUAAGUGAAGUCUUCUUCUAUUUCAAGACAAGGGAAAUAUGAAAAGGGGUGUAUGUUGGAUCCAAUUUAGGCGCCUCCCCAGAUGCACUCUAUCUAGUAUGUCUUCUGGGCAUGCUUCUAACACAGAGCUCCCGUGCCCACUGUCACCACAUCUCCUGCCCACAGAGAUUAUGGUCUAAUUUUGGUCCAGGAUUUUAUAAUAAAGAUAAUAGAACAACAAAAAUGACCAAAUGUGUGACCUCACCAGAAUUUUCAUGUUGAAGUCAGGGUUCCAAUAAGGAAAGAGUGGGACUCUGAGAUCUAAAUAGACACAUUUGUUUGGGGAAGGGUGAGAACCACGAAGUCAGAAAUUAUCUUGCGUCCUCUUGGUUGUCAUAAGUAGCUUCCUCUCCCUUGAAAGAGGGGAAAGACGAGUCUUCCCUAGCCGAGACACCGUGCUGUUACCUUAUUUGAAGAAGUUGUCAUGCAAUGACACUUUUUCUCCUCAUGAGCUUCCCCCUACACCUAUUGCUUCCAAACAGCUAGCCAGGGGAAAGUCGAAGGAGAGUCCAAGCAAGAACAUACAAUCUUGCUCUAGAAGAAAAUGACAUGCAUGAGAAAAUUGCAGGACUUGGCUACUGUGUACAAGUGUGAACCAGGAGAGCGCUUCAUCAUGGGAAGUCUUAACACAGAAUGGCAAAAUGUCAAUCUGGAGUUGAGGUCUACCCAAUGGGGCUUUUUCUGUAGACUGACAUCAUUGGAAAUGCCUUGCUGAGUAACUAUCUGGUUUGCUUUACUCACAGAACUAUUUGUUAGAUCAGUGGGAAAGAACUAUAAGACAGACUUGCUCACAGUAUGAA